rnacentral:misc_RNA from 1 species
AGCAGCCGCGGUAAUUCCAGCUCCAAUAGCGUAUAUUAAAGUUGUUGCAGUUAAAAAAGCCCGUAGUUGAAUUUCGGGAUCAGUACGCCGGUCGUGCCUUCGGUAUGCACUGGUGUCACUGGUUUCUCCCUUCUGAAGAACCAUCAUGCCAUUAAGUUGGUGUGGCGGGAAAUCAGGACUGUUACUUUGAAAAAAAUUAGAGUGUUUAAAGCAGGCUCGCGCUUGAAUACAUUAGCAUGGAAUAAUGAAAUAGGACGUUUGACCCUAUUUUGUUGGUUUCUAGGAUCGACGUAAUGAUUAAUAGGGAUAGUUGGGGGGCAUUAGUAUUCAAUUGUCAGAGGUGAAAUUCUUGGAUUUAUUGAAG